CAUGCAUUUGGCUUCCGGUAUGCCACAUCAUCUCCUAGUGAUUGCUUCCCUUUAAACCAACUUGCUACAUCCCUUCAAAAUAAAUUAAAUACAGACAACAUUGAUAUGCCUAUGUUAGUACAAAAGUUCCUUAGCAUCUAUCUCAUUUUUUCAGGAAACACUGCACUUUCAUAAUGAUCAAAAGGUCAAAGCUAUUGACGAAUUGGAGGCAGAAGUUGGUGACUCCAACUUAGAAGGUGGAAAAGUUAAAGAAUCUAGCGACACAUCUACAAAGAACCUACUAAAGAAUUGGCAAUUGAUGUCAGCAGUAAUUAUCUAUUGUAUCUUUUGUCUCCAUGACACAGCCUAUCUUGAGGUGAUCUCUCCUCUGUUUCACUUUUCUAAAUUUUCAUUAAGUAAUCAUGAGAGUACCUUCUUCAUUGACAAUUCAAUAUGAGAGGAUGCUAAUAAUAUGAUUGUCCAUUUAAAUUGUUGCUAUCCUAAAGAUGAUGCAUCCUAAUGUUCUCUAAUUUCAUCUACAGACAUUUUCACUCUGGGCAGUGAGUAGCAAAAAAUUUCGAGGCCUGAGUUUGACGUCCCAGGAUGUUGGCAUUGUGCUAGCUGUCUCAGGUAUGUGAUAUUUUUCCGCAAUGUGCUAGCCGUCUCAGGUAUGUAAUAUUUUCCAAGUUUUAUGCAAAUAAUUAUUUCACAUAAGAAACAAAAACCCAUGCAAAAAGGAGGAAAACAUAACCUGAAAAUAAAUUAAAGAAUCACAUAAAUAGCAAACAUCUUUUCCCACUUCCAGUAGCAUUGGCAUCAAAUUGUUUACCUUACAACAAUUUCAUUUGAUCUUUGUAGGUUUGGGUGUUCUGGUAUACCAACUUGUUCUUUAUCCUUUUAUUGCCAAGUCUUUUGGACCAAUCAGGCCAUUACGUCCUGCUGCGGUAUGUGAGAUCUAUCUUUGUGAAAUUUUUUUCAACACCAAUUGUGAAAAGAUAAUAUGAAAUAAAUUAGUUUAGGGUUAAGUGGGGAAAGAAAUAUGCAUUGGCCUAGUAAAGUAAAUAAAAAAUUAUGGUUAAAUAUAGAUUUGAAUUUUAGGUGGAGGACAAUAGUGAUUGAUUUGUUUGUAUGAAAACUAAUGGGGUGUGCCUAAAAUUCUAAAUGAGGUGUAUUGAAUCAAAUCUCUAUAGUGUUGAGAUGCUCUCUUAAUUUCAUUUUAUCUUUUUAAGUACCAUGAUCAAAUUGGUGUUGUAGGUCUUGUCUGUACUUCUUCUCACAACAUAUCCCUUCAUGGCCAACUUAGAUGGGAUGGAGCUGAAAACAUUAAUCAACAUAGCUUCACUGUUGAAGAACAUAUUCUCUGUGAGUUAGCUCUCAUGCAUAUGAAGAUCUCUUCAGAGAAAUAACCUCAACCACUUCACUAGGAUUUUUUUUAUUUUGAAAAAGAAAAUCUGAUCUAUAUUUGAAUAAACAGGCUACAAUUACUACUGCAUGCAACAUUCUGCAAAACAAUGCAGUGGUAAGUGUCAGUCAUGGCUGAUAGGUUCAUUUGUUUUAGUAUAUUUGCUCUAUCAUUUUUUUCUAGAUUCUAACUUUCCAUAUAAAACAUGCGCAGACACAAGAACAAAGGGGUGUUGCAAAUGGCAUCUCUGUGACUCUAAUGUCAUUGUUCAAAGGUGUAGCUCCAGCAGCAGCAGGGAUUUUGUAAGUAGUACAUUCAGGGGCAGACCCAGUACACAAGGAGUGGAGGCACAUUCUCAGUACACAAAGGGCCCCUACUCAAAUUCUAGAUUUCCAAAGAAAAUAUACCUUCUUUCAUGUCUAGAUAAAAAUAUUGUUUUCCUUGUCCUAGUGAUGAUAUUAUUUUCUUUCUUUUUUUUGCAGGUUUUCGUGGGCUCAGAAGCACACAACUGGAUUGUUCUUACCAGGUAUAUAAAUGGCAUAUGUCUACUUACGAUGGCUAAUUGGCUAUACCUUACCUAUAGGAUGGCACUGGAAAGCAACUAAAACAUCACAAAUUACUUAGUGUUCAUUCUUGUUUCAAUUGUGCGAAAUGCAGGUGAUCAGAUCCUAUUCCUCAUUAUAAACAUGGUGGCAAUAAUUGGACUGAUUUUGACAUUCAAGCCAUUUUUCUCCAUGUCAAUGCGCUGAGGUGUUCAUAACAAUGUGUGUUUCAUUAUCAUUCAUAAGUUAAAUAAAGGUGAUGUCAUAAUGUAGGCCUCAAAUUUGAAACUACAAGAAUCCAUGUACUAUAUAGGCUCAUAAUUUAACCUUAUGCUCAAUUCUGCAAUCAGUGUGAAGAGGCUCUCCAAAUUAUUUUUGGUUGUAAACUCCAGGACACUAGAUGCUUCAUCAGUGUGUAAAACAUUAUAAGAUGAUGCUGAGCUCAGAUACUUUUGUAACAUCCCAGAUUUUUGUAAUAUGUUGUGAUGUAAAAAUUCCAAGCUUUUUUAAUUUGUUUGUACGAUUGAAUGUUGCAUGCAAUAUCAUGUCAAACUCUUAGCAGCCUAGGAAUGGAAACAUGACCCACAUUCCCAUUCUCAUGAACGUCUAUGUUUCGAAAACGCGAAUGUUCUCGUUCCCAUAUUAUAAAAGAUACUCCAAGUUCUUGUUCCCAUUCCCGUUUUGAAAACGGGGAUGGAAACAUGGCUGUUAUGGUCAAACCUAAGUCAACCUUCCAAAAUGUUGACUUGAAAACUUGUGGAAUUAAAAUCCCCUCAUUAUGUUUUUUGACAAAGUCAAGCCCUGACAAGUUCAUGCUUCAAAACAAAAUGUUUUUAGUCUUGACAAAGUCAAGCCCUAUUUGGGUUUGGGCUUCAUAUAAAAGCGAAGGGACUUCAUAUUCUUGGGUCAACCAACAAGGUGAUUUUGGCCCACAACCAUCCUACUCACCAGUCCUCUUCUUCCUUUUCCUCCUAGUUUGGCUGACAGUCAACCCUCAUUCCCUUCCUGACCGUACCUUUAUCAUCUUUUCCCUCAUUGCGUCUAGCAUGCAAGCCACAGUGCCCUGAUUCCACCUCACAAUGCCACAGGAAUGAGCAGGUGAUGAUGUCAUCAGCUAGCUAGACCUGCCCAUUAGAUGCUUAAGAAUGGCCAAGGAUGUCAUCCCUAUUGAUUUUUGUCUACCCUCUCCUUUAUUGUGAGCUAACCAAGCGCCAAUCAUUUCUGCUUUUCCCCUUAAUGUGUCUCGAAUGCCACCACUCAAGGCCCAUGCCUAAGAGCAAUAGGAGUUGCAGCAUACUCAUGUGUGCUUGGUAUCAUGACUUGUGCCCAGUCUCAGACCUUCUCAAAGGAUCCUGGCCACCAACCCUAGCCUAGCCACUCUGAUGGCGACAUGUGCACUAGCCAUCCUAUUGAUAGGCACAUACAACAAUAGCCCAUGAAGCCCCUGUGAACCCUAGCCUUAGCCCUAUAAGACAAACCCUUUAAGUGCUCCUCUAUCACCAUUCUUGACCUUCAUCAUUGCACCACCUCUUCCUUCCUUUCCCUUCUCCCGUUGUUAUAGGGUCGAGAUGGAUGACUACUAGAUGCAUAGUGGUGGUGAAUAGUUGUUUCUAAAUUCUAAUCGCUAUGGCUAGCCGAUCAAAGCAGCGAAAAGAAACUUAUUGUCUAUCCUCGAUUAUACCACUUGAAAGCCCUAGUUUAGUUUUGGAUAAUUGAUGAAACCUAAUGUACUUACCUCUAUGCUAAGUGUGUGUAGAUUAGAUAAGGUUGGUACAUGUCAAGUGAUGGAGCAAGAGAUGAUCAUGGUGAUGGUGGUGAUGACCAAAAGGUGAUCAAGUGCUCAACCUGGAAAAGAAGAAAGAGAAAAAUAAAAUCCUAUGGAGAUCAAGGCAAAGGUAUAAAUAGGAUUUUGGUUUUGGUGAUCAACACCAUAGAAGGUGUGAUCACAUUUAGGAUAGAUAGUCGUACUAUAAAGAGGGGAAUUAUUUGGCUAAAUGGUCUAUCGAGUGCCACUAUGUGUUAUUAAUCAUGUGCAUGCAUUUAGAACCUAGUGUGCUAACUUAACCCUUGAAAAUAUGCUAACACACAUGUACAAGGUGGUACAUGGUGGUUAGCACUUUUGAGCAAGGGUAGAAGAGGUGGAGAAGAGUUCGGUCAAAUGCACUUUUUCUAUUGUGCUUUUGAGAAAAUAAAAUGCACCUUUCCUAUUGCACCAGAGGAAAGUUUCAGGGAAGUCAGUGGCACCGGACACUAGCUACAAAAGCAUCGGACGCUGGCCCAACAUCCGGUGUGUGUUGGUUGAGUGAUGCUUUUCUGUGUAGUGUGUCACUACGUCUGAGGGCUUUGCAUCGGACGCUGGCUAAUCACUAUUGAGCGUCUAGUGCUAAGUGAUGUCAGCAGGGGCACGAGCAAGGGUAUCAAGUGUUGUGCAUGUUGAACACUGGCUACAUCUGAUGGUCUACUGUUAGACGUUUCUGAUGCAUCUCUGAGAGUUUCUGGACCUCUAUGAGUAGCAUCCAGUGCAUAGCACCUGGUGCGUCCGAUGCCUUCUGUAUGAGAGCUUUAACAUUUAAAGUGACUGUUGGAGAUCAAUGGCUCAUAUUUAACUAAGGACACAUGGUAGCAUCAUGAGCUAUUGUUGGAGCAGCAUCGGACGCUGGUUUGCGUUCGACGCCCUAGCGUCGACAUGUCUGACGCCCUCGAUUUCUUUGAGAACAGAGAGCCAACGACUCUAUUUAUUUGGGGGACUUAUAAAUAGUGUUUGGCCGAAUUGGGGCUCUCUCUCUUGGUACUUGUCACACCCAGUUUUAAAGAACAAAACCAGGCUAGCCAUAUAUGUGCCCAGGAAGUCCACACAUACAACAACAGAAGCAAUAAUAUCAAAAACAAUGUUAUAUAGCGGAAACAUACUUAUAAUUAACACUUACAUCAGAUAAUCGUAACACAAUAACUAAUCUUCAGGCUCAAUCUUCACAGGGACGGCUAACUGGAGGUAACAUAUGCCUAGCACUUCUUGUAUUCUGAGAACAUCCUUCAUGAUUCCAUCGCUCUUCUGAUCAACUCUUACUAGUAAACUGGAGUGGUGGGAAAUAGCAAGAGUGAGCACAUAUCGUACUCAACAAGUAUAACCAGGGGUUCAUGAGGCUCAAAUAGUUGACACUGGUUUGAUUGCAUUUAGCUUUUAAUAGUGGAUAGCAUGUUCAUAAUUAAAUAGCAAAUGUCAAGGUAGCAUAAAUAAUCCAAUAAUCACAUGAUCAAUUGUAAGCAUAAUUAACUCAUAGCAUAAAUGAUAAUCAAAUGAUCAUAAUAAUAUAAUGAGCUCAUCAUCUUAAUGUAGAUGUCCCCAAGGCUGCUCCUGACCGUGAGCUCGACUAGUAUACUAGUUUUAAACACUCUGCAGAGGUUAUACAUCUUUACCCAUGAGUCAUGAUUUACCCUUUCGCCCGAGGUGAUCAGCCUCUUAACCCACUACCAAGGAAGGUCGGCAGGGAUCACUAUGAAGCCGUUCAAAAGUUCGUCUAACAUGUUAGGGCCGCAAGGUUUCCUUUGCGCGCAGAUAUAGAUACCCCUUUCAAAUGGCACAAUGACGCGCAGCCUAUACACAUAAGGACAGGGGCUCGCACUAUACCCAAAACGGUUCAGCCCCUCCGCCCUUUCGGGUAACCUCUAACAAGCUAGAAAAGGUCUUCAUACUGAGCUAAAGCCAGAGCCAUUAUAGCCCUCAUGGUUGCACUGUUAUCCCGGGUGAUCACGUACAGACAAGAUCUCAUACAGUUAUUUGUCAUAUUCUUUUAUGUUCAUUGCACAGCUAUUAAUCAUCUUACAAGAUCAUGGAUUAUAUCAAGCACUAGCACAACUACACCAAAUGCAUAUCAAGUAGGUAGCAAGGAAUCCAGGUAACAAUCAUCUAUGAUUUUGCUAAGGUCGACAAGGUGAAAGCAUACAUAUGAUAUAUAUGUGUAUUUAUAAGUGAAUAGAUAACAAGGAUGAUCCCAAGUUAUACUUGCCUUAAUCCAAUUGCUCAAUUCUCACACUGUUAGCUUUCGGUCAUCAUCUUCUGAUCUUCAAUGCCCACAAACAGUUCUCAUCUACUCGUUGCAAGCACCACACACAGACAAACAUACAAACAACAAAUAAAAGCAACUAAGAACAAUACACCACUCAAGACAAAACAAUGUACUAAAAGAGAACUAGUUCUACGGUCACAGGAUCGCAAGAAACACUAAUAACGAAACCAUCAUAAUAAAUAAAUGACAUCAAGAGAUUUAUAUUACAUAAAAGAAACAACUACAAGCUUGAUUUAUUUUAGUUAAAUAAAACCAUAGAAAAUUUACUAGAUAAAUUAUAUUUAAACUUUAAAAAGUGAAAGUUAAUUAAUCAUGUUUUAUUUGUAAAUAUUAAUGUGUAGUUCAUUUAUCAAGUUAAAGUAGACAAGUGACAGCACGUGGAACAAGUUUACACUAACCAAAUUCAAUUUAAAAACAUAUUUAUGUUGCUAAUAUCCAAAUUUACAGUUAGAUAUAAAAGCUCGACAUUGUACUAUAUUGCUUUUGUUUAGCAACUAAUUUCAUGCACAUUGAUCCAAAAUGUUUAACUGUAAACACAAAAACUCGUGGCCUGCUAAACGUACUGUAUAUUACAUCAAUAUAAUAUUAAUCAACAAAAAUAGACUAGCAUAACUAAAACGUCCGUACGAUAAGGGUUAAAGCUGUAGAAACGAGAGUUCACUAGAGAUGUAGAUACCUACUGUGCUUGGUCAUAUCGGACGGUUUCUCGGGCGGGCAUGUCCCAUACGUGAUCUGCUUUGCUGCUUACUUUGCUUGAACUACAGGACAACAAUGCUAUCAUUUACUGAAGAUACGUAGGCACAAAAGCUAGUGACUGUGCUGUAGAGAAUAGAUCAUGUAGGGAUACAAGGAGAUUCUCACCAAGGCUGAAGAUGAACGAACGACAGGCACAAACUUGUUGGAUGAGAACCAAAGAUCGAUCAUGGCAGCCUGGAGCGGCAAGAAGGGCGAUGAUCUGAUGAGGUUCGUGGUGGUUAUAGAGGUCUUUGAUGCGGAUCUAGCGGAUCGAUCGGAAUCAAAGGCUGCUUGACCGUGUCCAUCUUGAUGAAUCCGGCUUCUGGAGAGUGCACCACCGGCGGCUUGGACUUGCUCUUCCCAUGACCAAAGCUAGGAGAUUCAGAAGUCUAGAUUGAUCUAUGGCCUUUACGGACCACCAUCAGUUUGCCCAAAGCUAAGAUUAUUGUUGAUGGCAGCGGCACUUAUGAUCAGCAGGGCCCUAGGG
rnacentral:lncRNA from 1 species